UAAAAAUGGUGUUUUCAUGGGAUGACUUUAACCAGAAACUCGGUGAGCUAGCAGUGACUCUAGACAGCCAUGGUGUGUGAAUAUUUAAACACCAAGUUAUACUAAAACUUUGUGAAGGAACCAGAACAGCAGGUGCGGGUUGAACUAAUGACAGGACUCCAUUUUACUGGCUGUCAUAUCCCAGCAUGCUCGCUGCUGUCCAGUCGAGUGCACCGAGUAAAAGAUGACAAGCUGACAGCUCACCACACAGGAUACCAGGCAUCUAAUGACAUUCUGAUUCGCUAUCAGACCGCAGUUUAAAAAACAGGCACCUGCCAGGCUAAUCAGUUCCCAACACCUGGUCCUUGCAGUAAUGUCAGCAUAAAAACAGUAGGGCAGGGAGAGCAAACUGGUGCAAGAGUUAUACAGACUGAAGGACACAUAGUAAGAGAAAGCCCACUCCCCCACCCGAAGCAGUUCUUCUCCGCUGCCUUCGAUCCAUCGCUCCAUGCCUCUACCCCACACUCUCCUGCUGUUGCUCCAGAUAUUAAAACAAAUCAGCCAUGAAAUAAGCUCCUUCCUCUGUCCUUAGCGGCGCUGUCGGAGCUCAUUCCUGUCUACAUCAGACACUUUCACCCGCCCACCGUCUCUCUGCAAAGCUGCCUCUGCCACCCUUAACUUUCCCAACAGACUGUCCAACGCUGCUGGGGCUUCACCCCUUUGGCUUAAUCUCUUCCCCUCCUUUCGGAAAAGCAUUGGCUUUAUGGUGCACUAAAUAUAUUGCUUUGUUCCAAAACCUUAGUGAGGCAGUGAAGACUGUGUUUCAAAAUGUAAAAAUCCUUAUUACUUUGCCUCCUAAAAUGCCUCAUUCUGGGAGCAUUUCAUGAAAAGUGCAA